GCAGAGGUAGACUGAAUAGGGACACUACCACACAAGGGAAAACUUUAGGACCAUGACAGAUAACUGUUUCACCAAAAUCAUAGAGACAGAAAGCAAAAUAAGAAGACAGAGAAUUUGUUUCAACUAAAAAAAAAAAAAAAAAAAGGAAAAAGAAAACCCCUGAAGAAAACAACUAGUGAAAUGGAAUAAAUAAUUUACCAGAUAAAGAGGUGAAAGCAUUAGCAAUAAAAAUGCUAACUGAAUUAGGGAAAACAAUAUAUAAACACAGUAAUAAAUUUAUAAACACCUUCUGCAGCUCCACACACAAAAAAGCAAACAACCCAUCAAAAAAUGGGCAGAAAAUCUAAACAGACAAUUCUCCAAAGAAGACAUACAGAUGGCCAAAAAACACAUGAAAAGAUGUUCAACAUCACUCAUGAUUAGAGAAACGAAAAUCAAAACCACUAUGAGGUACCACCUUACACCAGCCAGAAUGGCCAUCAUCCAAAAGUCUACCAACAAUAAGUGCUGGAGAGGGUGUGGAGAAAAAGGAACCCUAGUACACUGUUGGUGGGAUUGUAAAUUGGUGCAACCACUGUGGAAAGCAAUAUGGAGAUUCCUCAGAAAACUAAACAUAGAACUGCCAUUUGAUCCAGCAAUCCCACUCCUGGGCAUCUAUCCAGAGAAAACCACGACUCGCAAAGACACAUGUUCUCCAAUGUUCAUUGCAGCACUAUUUGCGAUAGCCAAGACAUAGAAACAACCUAAAUAUCCACUGACAGAGGAGUGGAUCAAGAAGAUGUGGUGCAUAUACACAAUGGAAUAUUACUCAGCCAUUAAAAGGAACGAAAUACCAGCGUUUUUAGCAACAUGGAUGGACCUAGGAAUUAUCAUGCUAAGUGAAGUCAGUCAGACAAUGAGACACCAACAUAAAUAUAUGUGGAAUCUGAAAAAAGGACAGACUGAACUUCUUUGCAGAACGGAUGCUGACUCACAGACUUUGAAAAACUUACGGCUUCCAAAGGAGUCAGUUUGGGGGGUGGGGGGAUGCACCAGGGGGGUGUGGAAUGGAAAUCUUAUAAAAUUGGAUUGUGAUGAUCAUUGUACAACUAUAAAUGUAAUAAAUUCAUUGAGUAAUAAAAAAAUUGUUAUCUUCAAUAUUCUAGUGAUUCAAGUGUGGGAAACCCAUUUUAACUGAGCCUAAUAUAAUCACAGUUCCAUCUAAUACCAGAGACAGGUUCUGUCUUUGUUCAAUUUUUCCUAGAACACUGGAUCCAAAGAGGUGUUUAGACCCUGACCUGAGGAGGGAAAAAAAUCCAGAAGGAGAUAGUCCCUGUACUUCCAGACAUUCAGGAUUCUAGGGAUAGAAACAAAAGUUGGCUUGGGGUCCAAUCAACAACCGUUUCUCACCAUCAUCACUAAAUCCCUGAUUGAACACUUACUGAGCUCCCUGUACUGGCUCCCAGGGCAUCACUUCAUGAAGACAUCAGCAGGAUGGGAUGCAGUCAGAGCAAAGGAAAAAGCCUGUUUAUCUACUUACAACACUUCUGACAUGCAAGCAAUUCUCCUACUCUCAAAAUUUCCCAAAGCCAGUGGGUACCAAGGGUUGGGAGGUGUAAGUAGCCUGCCCCAAUGCAAGCAUAAGAAGGUGAAUUGUCUGUAAAGAACUUUAAAACAGUAAUAAAACUAACUAUAAGUCAAUCUGACUUGUAUCACAUCUACUAAAUAGUGUUAGUGAUACAAUAACCCUCAAACAAAAGCCUUUUAUUGGUCUAAAUUAUAAACAGCCAAUAUGGUUACUGUUGCAUUAUAAUAAAAUAUAUGCAGGCUUCAAACUACCACUUUUUAAAACUAAUCCACUAAAACAUAUUUUAUUCUUCAUGAAUGCUAAUCUGAAAAACUAUCAGUUACACAGAUUCAGCUGCAUAAUAUCACUUUUUAUAGUAAAUUCAUAACAAUUUGUGAUCUUUCAAGCUCACUUUAGGCACAUUUUGUGCCUCCGACCCUUGUGGUAGAACAUAACCCUGCUCCCAAAACUAUAAAUUUAAAAGAAACAAUCCUGGAGUUCCCGUCGUGGCACAGUGGUUAACGAAUCCGACUAGGAACCAUAAGGUUGCAGGUUCGGUCCCUGCCCUUGCUCAGUGGGUUAACGAUCCGGCGUUGCCGUGAGCUGUGGUGUAGGUCGCAGAUGCGGCUCCGAUCCUGCGUUGCUGUGGCUCUGGUGUAGGCCAGUGGCUGCAGCUCCGAUUGAACCCCUAGCCUGGGAAUCUCCAUAUGCCGCAGAAGCGGCCCAAGAAAUGGCAAAAAGACAAAAAAAAAA
rnacentral:lncRNA from 1 species